AAAUGAAUCCCAAAGAUCCAAAUUUGAGUGUUCUAUUUAAGUUUAUUUGUGAGAUAGGUUUUUUAUCGACUAUACAUUGAGCAACAAGAUCUCCUAUUGUCAUCAAACAUGUAACUUCCAAUGAAUGUCGAAUCAUGAUUUUAUGUUUACUUAGAUGUUUAUACAUACUUAUUAUAUUGGUACAGUUUUUUAUUGUACGUAAAAUGGAACAAAUUUGCCAGCUUGAAUAAAGGUAAAUGUUAUAAAGCGAUGAAAUAAAUAAACAACAAGUUUUUGUUAGUUAGAGCUUAUUUAUGAAAAA
rnacentral:lncRNA from 1 species